GGGCGACCGAUACAAGUCCCUUUCACUCGCUCGCUCGGCGAAUCUCUCUCGAAUUCACGGAUUUGAUCAGCCAAUAUUAUACACUCCGCCACGAGUCCUCCGACAAACGAAUUACGAGAUUGGGGUUAGGUGUCGCCGGUAUAGGACCGUUGCGUCCUAUUCUCUUUCUUCCUCUCGAUUGAUGAUCCCCUGAGGCGAAGAGAGAUUCGCUUUAAUUCGGAGCGUAUUAACCUUCCCGCAUACUUUUGCCCUCGUUGAUCCUCGUUGAUUAAGCUCGGUCGAACGUCCCGUCCUUUUUACGAAUUUCGAAUAUCACGACAACGACAACUGUCCUCCGCGUUGCGACGGCAGCGCGCGCUCUUCUAUCGCGUACCAACGUUAUCGAUGGAAUCGUAAAAUCGAUAGUUCGAUGUUCGUUCGUUCGAUCGAUUUAUCGAGUUUAACCCUUUAUGGACGUUUGAACAUUUUCUUGAUUAAUAGAAUGGGGAAGCUACGAAAACCCUGGCAUCAAUUUUAGUUUAUAAAUGUCACGUUCAAUUAAUUUCAGACAGCCGGGACGAAUGUGUCACCAGACUUUCAAUUCAGUUGCUUCGCUCUCAUUCGCUUCACUGCUCGCGUAGAUGCAUGUUACGAGCACUUCACGAUACGAUAGUAUUGCAUCGGUAUUGUGUACAAUACUUUGACUGAAACGUGGGCGAAACGCGAACUCCGCAAGUUUUGUAUAAAAGUCCGUUCCAACGAAGAUAGCUGACACACUCAUGAUUGAAAACCGGGAAAAAGUUCUCUCAAUGUGCCCGUAACGUUUUAUAUGUUGUCGCGAUGGGUGAACCGGACGUGUACAGCGAUUUCUACCCGACAUUUACUUUUCAGUAACGCGAUCUACCGAAACGGCAAAAAUUACUCGGAACAUUCGAGCAUUCCUCGCGUCGAUCUCCAAGUACAGAGGUCUGAAUUCCUAUUCGUAAUCUACCGAAACGCACGUCUCAUUAAUCUCUCACAGAACGAGAUCUCUAUGCUGUUCACACGCAUAUACCGAGUCAUUUUUCACCCGAUGCAUUACUGUCGGAUGCAUCGGACGAGAGUACUUGCGUCCAAAAGAGCAGGUUCGCUCGCGAGGUUAAGUGCAUGCAAAGUUCUAGUUUCCUCGUAUUUAUACAUCCGUUUCUUCCUCUUCUCUCUUUCACAGUCAUCGCAGUAUCACACUUGUAUCCGCGUUACCGAUACUUUGUCCAUAAUCGCGCCGAAACAUUUAUAAAUAUUUCUAUAUACUUCGAGCACUCGGUUCGGACGAUUCGUCAAAUAUUUGUCAUCCGCGCCUGUGUCAUUAUUUACAGUUUUCGCGUUUGUGUAUUCCAAACAUAAAUACGGAUAAAUGACGAUACACAGCUGCAUUAUCGACAUUUACCGAUAUUUAUCGGUAGCAGCGUCUCCAGCGGGGAUGUUUCGAAGCCAUUCGUACGACGCCAUGAAAUUUGUUUGUUUUCGACUUGGUUCGUAUGCAAGGCACGGCCAACUUUGGAAUCGUUAUUGGUACAGUGACUACGAUGGAAAUUGGUAUUACGUACACGUGUCGCGAAGCAGAAGAAUCGAAGGGUCGGCGAUAUAGGAAGGACAGAGAAAAAAGCACGUGGAUUCGUCCCACCGAUCGAGUCGAUUCUUUCUUCGUGCUAACUGUACCACCCAACAGCCCAUUUAAUGACGUUCGGGCACACUUAUACGCGUCGUUCCUAUUUUAUCUUACGUGGUAGGGCAGACGUCAUCCAGGCGGAAUAAUGUCAAGGACGAGUGCUGACCAAUCGGACGAGCCGACAAAUUUGUAAACGAUUGACGCAAGGUGCACACCCUCUGUACCAGGACACGCGUGACCGCCGGAUUGCCGUGUACCUGGAAAACGAUCAUUCAGGAUGAUCGAUGGGACGAUGUUGAAGUUUGUAGACACGUGAAAGGAAGCGAUAGAUGCGUAUCGAGAUC